ensembl:snRNA U6 U6 spliceosomal RNA
CUGUUCAUUUCAGCAGCAAAUAUAAUAAAUAGUACCAAUUCAGGGAAAAAUAGUAUAGCUCCUGUGUAAGGAUGACACACAAAUUCACAAAGCAUUCCAUAUUUUU